GCCUGUGUAGCUCAGUGGUUGAGCACCAGCCUAUGAAGCAGGAGGCCAGGCUUCGAUUCCCAGUCAGGGCA
rfam:Myotis lucifugus cont2.35738, whole genome shotgun sequence.